rnacentral:rRNA from 1 species
UACGAAGGGGGCUAGCGUUGCUCGGAAUGACUGGGCGUAAAGGGCGCGUAGGCGGUGAACACAGUUAGGCGUGAAAUUCCCGGGCUCAACCUGGGGGCUGCGUUUAAUACAUGUUCGCUUGAGUUCGGAAGAGGGUCGUGGAAUUCCCAGUGUAGAGGUGAAAUUCGUAGAUAUUGGGAAGAACACCGGUGGCGAAGGCGGCGACCUGGUCCGAUACUGACGCUGAGGCGCGAAAGCUAGGGGAGCAAACGGG